rnacentral:rRNA from 1 species
CAUCGGCGUAAAGAGUGGUUAAGUUAAAAUUCGUACUAAAGUCGAACAUCCUCCAGGCUGUUAUACGCAUCCGAAGAUAAGAAGUUCAACCACGAAUGUAGCUUUAUUUAAUCUGAACCCACGAAAGCUACGGCACAAACUGGGAUUAGAUACCCCACUAUGCCUAGCCCUAAACAUUGAUAGUAUAUUACACCCACUAUCCGCCUGGGAACUACGAGCAUUACCUUAAAACCCUAAGGACUUGGCGGUGCUUUAGAUCCACCUAGAGGAGCCUGUUCUAGAACCGAUAACCCCCGUUCUAGCUCACCUUUUCUUGUUUUUUCCGCCUAUAUACCGCCGUCGUCAGCUUACCCUGUGAAGUACAAAUAGUAAGCAAACUGGUAG